rnacentral:rRNA from 1 species
GGCUCUCUGCUUACAUAAAUAUAGGGAGUCGAGCCUGCCCAGUGAAUUUUUAAACGGCCGCGGUACUCUGACCGUGCAAAGGUAGCAUAAUCAUUUGCCUUAUAAUUGAAGGCUAGUAUGAAUGGUUUGACGAGAACAAUACUGUCUCCUUUUUAUUUUCAAGAACUUAACUUUUAGGUGAAGAGGCCUAAAUUUUAUUGAAGGACAAGAAGACCCUAUCGAGCUUAAAAGACAUUAUAGAAGUUUAUAUAUUUUUAAAUAAAUUUUCUAUUGAGCUUUUUAGUUGGGGCGACUAAGGAACAAAAAAAGCUUCUUGCUGACAAUAAGCAGUCAUGUUUAGAUCCGAUAAUAAUCGAUCAAAGAAAUUAGUUACCGUAGGGAUAACAGCAUAAUCUCUCUUGAGAGACCUAAUCGAAAGAGGGGGUUGUGACCUCGAUGUUGGACUAGAAUAUCCUAAAGAUGCAGAAGUCUUUGAGGGUCGGUCUGUUCGACCGUUAAAAUUCU